UACAGAGGGUGCGAGCGUUGUCCGGAAUCACUGGGCGUAAAGGGCGCGUAGGCGGCGCGGUAAGCGUGCGGUGAAAGCCCGGGGCUUAACCCCGGGUCGGCCGUGCGGACUGCCGGGCUGGAGCACUGUAGAGGCAGGUGGAAUUCCGGGUGUAGCGGUGGAAUGCGUAGAGAUCCGGAAGAACACCGGUGGCGAAGGCGGCCUGCUGGGCAGUGGCUGACGCUGAGGCGCGACAGCGUGGGGAGCAAACAGG
rnacentral:rRNA from 1 species